UCGAAAAAACGAGUUGAUUCGCGACCACAGAUUACAGCUGCAUGCAUGACGUUCUGUUGAAAGUAAAAACCGUAAAUAAAACUCGCCACUGGUCGAUUUCUUAGUAUGGAUUUAGAAACAGGGCAGUGAAGACGCAAGUUUUCGUUUGGCAGUUUAACAAAAGGUGAACCUUUUUUUUUCCAAAACUGAUUAAGAUAAACUCAUUGUGAGUCAACAACGCUGGGAGGAAUCACCAAGUUGCAGAUUAGAAUUCAUAUCACCGUUCCGAAGGAUUCACCUGGAAAUUCACUUGUCAAAACACAUCCAGGUAUACCUUUCUGAUAACUCUAUUUCCAAAGCAAAAUGGCGUAUCUUCCGGCUGUGAUGGCAGGUACUGCAAUUGCCAACUUACUUGGUGGUGCUGGAAAGAAUGAGGACGUCGGUCGUCUCGAUUCGAAGGUCGAUGCGAACCAGCGGGAACAGUCACAAUUCAACUACAAGAUGGCGGAGAUGGUCAGCGGCCAGGGGCAGCAGUUAAAAACUAUGAAAUUGAACACUGAUCGAAUCUCGAGUCUCACUGACAAGCUGUCCGAUCGUCAGAAGGAAGCGUUCCUUCAGCUGGGCAGGGUUCAAAGCGACACGAGCGGUUUGAGACGGGACCAGGAUAGAUUUGGUACUCGGUUGGACCAGUUCCAAUCGGAUCAGAGCAGUUUCAAUACGGAUAUUGCUAGAAAGGAAGCCGGGUUGGCGGUUGGUCUUCGAAUGCUUAGUGAGCAACAGCGUUCGUUCAACGAUGAAUCAAAGUUGGAAACAGCUGGCAUGCAGAAAAGACUUGGUGAACAUGCCACGGGAUUGGAGGUGAUGAAGUCACGUGCAGAUGGUUUGCAACAUGAUCAGGACCGGAUCGGUUUGGACGUAGCACGUGCCCAUGGCAGGGUUGACAAGUUUCAAACUGAUCAAAACAGCUGGAACCUUGAUUAUGCUGAGAGAAGUGCUCGAAUGGAAGUGCAACAGAGAAUGACAAAUGAACAACAAGGGCUGUUCAACACUGAACUUCACUCUCGCACGGUUGCCAUGCAGGACAAACUUGGCGACACUGUCAUGAGGGUAGAAUUGGCUCAUGGUCGAGCGGAUCACCUGCAACGCGGACAUGACGAACUUAGUCUUAGCCUGAGGCAAACCAACCAAAGGGUUGAUCAGUUCAACAGUGAUCAAAACCAGAGAUACCAACUACUUUCCGCGAGUACGGUUCGCAACGAGGAGAGACAGUUGGGCUUCAUGAAUAGCCAAACAUCGCUGAACGAAAAACUGCUCAACCGUACGGAUGCCCUCACAGACAAAUACUUUGCCACUGAAGGAAAGCUGGACUUGAUGAACCAUCGUGCUGAUAGUCUGCAAGAUGGUCAAGCCAAGAUCGCUGACGACCUCAAACAGGAAAAACAAAUCCACGAGGCUCGUCUUCGAGACCAAUUCAAGCACAAUGAAACCCUCUCAAACAACUACACUCGCGUGGAAGAGAGGCAAAACUGUUUCAUAAGUGAUCAAAAGUCACGCAACGAACAAAUCACCAAUCAAACGGAAAACAUCCGUGACAAACUGGGAAAAACUUCACACAACGUCGACUUUGUAAACUUCCGGGUGGACACUCUUCAAGCUGCUCAGCAAAAAUUGGAUAACGAGCAGAAGGAUAUGGACAAACGAUUGCAUGUGGUCGAACACUGCUCGGAUGGUUUCCGUGACGAACAAAAGCAAAUGAAUGAAAUGUUGAAAAACCUUUUGGCCGCUGUGACGGAGAUUGGGGCUCGAAUGAAAACGAUGGAAAGUCGGUUGGAUUUCUUGCAGGCCGGGUAUGAACGCGUUAAUGCGAUGUGUAUCAAGUUUGAGGCGUCGGGCGGAUCGUUUGGAAAGGGUCCUGAUGAGGUUAGAAAUGACCUUAACUGUGGCACUAACGAUGUAACGAGUGUCAACAACAUGCUGCCAAUGUAGUCGUUUUGUUCUUUAAGCGAUUGUAAUACAAACGAUCAAAGUAGCAUUAUUUGUAUUAUGAAAGUUGCAAAAUCGUUGCAAUUACACUUUUAAUAAGCCCAUAAAUAUUGUUUAUUUUUCAUAAUAAUAAAAAAAAAAUACCUGUAAUUUACUAAAACUGCAUGUUUUUUCAAUAUUUUAACAUUAUAAAAUACACUACACAGUUUAGCUGAUCCGAAUAGAGAAAAAAAUGUGAAAGGACACGCUGGACAAACCCAACUAUUGAACAUGAAUUUACCAAUUAACCAUUAAUCAUCACAACGUUGUGCGGCAAAAAUUGCGAGUAAAAUAAAUGAUUGAAUGAAUAUUUUAAAUUAUAAAAACAAAGAUUACCCAUGGCCGCAUUGUAAUGUCUAAACGAGUAUUUUUUGUCACGUUUGAGUUCAGUUUAUUAUUCAGUUUUAUUUUAAAUUGUGUCUACUUUCACUAGAGCCAAACACUAGUGAAAGGUCCAGGUUUGAGACAAUCUUGCUGACGACAGUGGGACAUAGUUAGUAAAUAUAAUACAUUCAACAUAAUAAAAAUAUUUCUUUCUA